rnacentral:rRNA from 1 species
CACGUAGGGCGCGAGCGUUGUCCGGAAUUAUUGGGCGUAAAGAGCUCGUAGGCGGCCUGUUGCGUCCGCUGUGAAAGCCCGGGGCUUAACCCCGGGUCGGCAGUGGAUACGGGCAGGCUAGAGGUAGGUAGGGGAGAAUGGAAUUCCCGGUGUAGCGGUGAAAUGCGCAGAUAUCGGGAGGAACACCGGUGGCGAAGGCGGUUCUCUGGGCCGUUCCUGACGCUGAGGAGCGAAAGCGUGGGGAGCGAACAGG